GACGAACGCUGGCGGCGUGCUUAACACAUGCAAGUCGAACGAUGAACCCGGAGCUUGCUCUGGGGGAUUAGUGGCGAACGGGUGAGUAACACGUGAGUAACCUGCCCUGGACUCUGGGAUAAGCGUUUGAAACGACGUCUAAUACCGGAUAGGACCUUGGAUCGCAUGAUCUGGGGUGGAAAGUUUUUUCGGUCUGGGAUGGACUCGCGGCCUAUCAGCUUGUUGGUGAGGUAAUGGCUCACCAAGGCGUCGACGGGUAGCCGGCCUGAGAGGGUGACCGGACACACUGGGACUGAGACACGGACCAGACUCCUACGGGAGGCAGCAGUGGGGAAUAUUGCACAAUGGGCGAAAGCCUGAUGCAGCAACGCCGCGUGCGGGAUGACGGCCUUCGGGUUGUAAACCGCUUUUAGUAGGGAAGAAGGGCUUCGGCUUGACGGUACCUGCAGAAAAAGGACCGGCUAACUACGUG
rnacentral:rRNA from 1 species